AGGAGACUUAAUAAAAUAAUCGAUAACUAUUGGAUGGGGCAGUUUAGUAGUUGGACCACUGCUCCAAAAGAAGUAAAGGAAUUGUGGUGGAAUGAGUUCAAGGCAGAUGAAUUGGGGACGGAACCAACAUUUAUGGCUACAUUUGAACGCACCUUUCAGAAAAAAGAUAAGACAUGGACCGGCAAUCGAGCAAAAGUUAUUAAGGUAUGUAAGGUUAUAUUUUGUAUUUAUAUAUAUGAAGUUUUUUUUUAUUUUUAU